UGGAGCAUGUGGUUAAUUCGACGCAACGCGAAGAACCUUACCAGGGCUUGACAUCCCCUGACCGCGUAUGAAAGUACGUUUCACCCUCGGGUGACAGGGAGACAGGUGGUGCAUGGUUGUCGUCAGCUCGUGUCGUGAGAUGUUGGGUUAAGUCCCGCAACGAGCGCAACCCUCGCCUUUAGUUGCCAGCAUUCAGUUGGGCACUCUAGAGGGACUGCCGGUGUCAAACCGGAGGAAGGUGGGAUGACGUCAAGUCCUCAUGGCCUUUAUGUCUAGGGCUACACACGUACUACAAUGGCCGGUACAAAGGGCAGCCACUCAGCGAUGAGGCGCUAAUCCCAUAAAGCCGGUCUCAGUCCGGAUCGCAGUCUGCAACUCGACUGCGUGAAGUUGGAAUCGCUAGUAAUCGUGGAUCAGCAUGCCACGGUGAAUACGUUCCCGGGCCUU
rnacentral:rRNA from 1 species